CCUACGGGAGGCUGCAGUGGGGAAUAUUGGACAAUGGGGGGAACCCUGAUCCAGCCAUGCCGCGUGUGUGAAGAAGGCCCUCGGGUUGUAAAGCACUUUCAGUGAGGAAGAACGCCUGUUGGUUAAUACCCAUCAGGAAAGACAUCACUCACAGAAGAAGCACCGGCUAACUCCGUGCCAGCAGCCGCGGUAAUACGGAGGGUGCGAGCGUUAAUCGGAAUUACUGGGCGUAAAGCGCGCGUAGGUGGCUUGAUAAGCCGGUUGUGAAAGCCCCGGGCUCAACCUGGGAACGGCAUCCGGAACUGUCAAGCUAGAGUGCAGGAGAGGAAGGUAGCAUUCACGGUUUAGCGGUGAAAUGCGUAGAGAUCGGGAGGAAUACCAGUGGCGAAGGCGGCCUUCUGGACUGACACUGACACUGAGGUGCGAAAGCGUGGGUAGCAAACAGGAUUAGAUACCCUAGUAGUC
rnacentral:rRNA from 1 species